GAGGGUAUAGCUCAGUGGUAGAGCAUGUGUUUAGUAUGGAUGAUGUCCUGGGUCCAAUCCCCUGUACCUCCA
rnacentral:tRNA from 1 species